AUUGAUUUACGUAUAGUACAUAGUUUCAUUAUUGCAAAUCAUAAUUUUGGUUUUUAUUUUAAUUCAAAUUUAACAAUUAUAUCAAGACUUUGUUUUUUUAUCUAAUAUUUUUCAUUUCUUUAGAAUGCAUGAGUAUUCCUUUAUUUUUGUUUAUUUAUUUCUUUCCAUUUUUUCUAACAACCAUAUAAUUUAGACUUGUUUGGAAUGUAUUAUAACAAAG
rnacentral:lncRNA from 1 species